ACACGAGUGGCGUAAUUAGUAAACGCGCUAGCCUCAGAAACUAGUGGAGAAAUCCGUGCAAGUGCAAGUCUUGUCUCGUGUACCA
rnacentral:tRNA from 1 species